AACACAUGCAAGUCGAACGCCCCGCAAGGGGAGUGGCAGACGGGUGAGUAACGCGUGGGAAUCUACCCAACCCUACGGAAUAGCUCCGGGAAACUGGAAUUAAUACCGUAUACGCCCUUCGGGGGAAAGAUUUAUCGGGGAUGGAUGAGCCCGCGUUGGAUUAGCUAGUUGGUGGGGUAAAGGCCUACCAAGGCGACGAUCCAUAGCUGGUCUGAGAGGAUGACCAGCCACAUUGGGACUGAGACACGGCCCAAACUCCUACGGGAGGCAGCAGUGGGGAAUAUUGGACAAUGGGCGCAAGCCUGAUCCAGCCAUGCCGCGUGAGUGAUGAAGGUCUUAGGAUUGUAAAGCUCUUUCAGUGGGGACGAUAAUGACGGUACCCACAGAAGAAGCCCCGGCU
rnacentral:rRNA from 1 species